rnacentral:rRNA from 1 species
AUUGAACGCUGGCGGCAUGCUUUACACAUGCAAGUCGAACGGUAACAGGCCGCAAGGUGCUGACGAGUGGCGAACGGGUGAGUAAUGCAUCGGAACGUGCCCAGUCGUGGGGGAUAACGCAGCGAAAGCUGUGCUAAUACCGCAUACGAUCUAUGGAUGAAAGCGGAGGACCGUAAGGCCUCGCGCGAUUGGAGCGGCCGAUGUCAGAUUAGGUAGUUGGUGGGGUAAAGGCGCACCAAGCCAACGAUCUGUAGCUGGUCUGAGAGGACGACCCGCCACACUGGGACUGAGACACGGCCCAGACUCCUACGGGAGGCAGCAGUGGGUAAUUUUGGACAAUGGGCGCAAGCCUGAUCCAGCAAUGCCGCGUGCAGGAAGAAGGCCUUCGGGUUGUAAACUGCUUUUGUACGGAACGAAAAGGUUUGGGUUAAUACCCUGGGCCGAUGACGGUACCAUAAGAAUAAGCACCGGCUAACUACGUGCCAGCAGCCGCGGUAA